AUGUUGACGCGGAAGCAGGACGGCAUCCCGCCGGCUUUCGUGCACGACCUGCACCGCGAGGACCAAACGCUCCAGGAGCGCUCCAUGUGCGGCUGCGGCAGCCAAUCGCCGGAGCACGGGACGACGGGUCAGCGCACCGAAGAGGAGCGCGACGCCUCCAUCAUCUGCCACGUCCACCACGCCCUCCGCCACUACAACGCCACCAACCCGGGCUCGGAGUUCGUCCCCGUCAAGCCUCUCAUGGCCGCGUACGUGGGUUUCCAAAGCCACAUCUGGGUCCACGUCAACUUCGUGGCUCGCAGGAAGAAGAUCGCCAGCAGCAAACGGAGGCGCAACCAGGCCAACGACACGGACAAGACCUUCUUCGCCGAGCUGCGCUACAGCCACCACCACUCCAGCGCGCCGGCCGUCGAAACAUGCGCCAUCAUCGAGAAGUCGUCGCGCAAAAGUCACUUGAAGACCGCAUGUGCAUUUUGCCCUGAGAGCUUUCAGAUUUUGCACCCACUUGACGGGAGCUUCCUGUGCGGAAAGAAGAGCCAGGCAAACGAAGGGCAGGGUUUCAUACAUUUCAUGAACCUGCUUGAGUUGCCGUUCACAUGCCCCACGGCCAAUGGAGAGGGCAAGGAGGAUGUGGCAGCUCUAGAAGAGGAGGAGGAGGAGGAACAUAGUAGCGCCCCGAGCUGGGCCGCCCUCCCCUUCCAUUUUCUCGGUAAUCUUAUCACAGGGGUUUUGCCGGCCUUUGAUGCGUAUGGACUAGAUCAGGGGCAAAGCUAG
rnacentral:rRNA from 1 species